rnacentral:rRNA from 1 species
GCCGAUGGCGACCGGCGCACGGGUGAGUAACACGUAUCCAACCUGCCGUCUACUCUUGGACAGCCUUCUGAAAGGAAGAUUGAUACAAGAUGGCAUCAUGAGUUCACAUGUUCACAUGGUUAAAGGUAUUCCGGUAGACGAUGGGGAUGCGUUCCAUUAGAUAGUAGGCGGGGUAACGGCCCACCUAGUCUUCGAUGGAUAGGGGUUCUGAGAGGAAGGUCCCCCACAUUGGAACUGAGACACGGUCCAAACUCCUACGGGAGGCAGCAGUGAGGAAUAUUGGUCAAUGGGCGCAGGCCUGAACCAGCCAAGUAGCGUGAAGGAUGACUGCCCUAUGGGUUGUAAACUUCUUUUAUAAAGGAAUAAAGUCGGGUAUGUAUACCCGUUUGCAUGUACUUUAUGAAUAAGGAUCGGCUAACUCCGUGCCAGCAGCCGCGGUAAUACGGAGGAUCCGAGCGUUAUCCGGAUUUAUUGGGUUUAAAGGGAGCGUAGAUGGAUGUUUAAGUCAGUUGUGAAAGUUUGCGGCUCAACCGUAAAAUUGCAGUUGAUACUGGAUAUCUUGAGUGCAGUUGAGGCAGGCGGAAUUCGUGGUGUAGCGGUGAAAUGCUUAGAUAUCACGAAG